rnacentral:rRNA from 1 species
AGAGUUUGAUUCUGGCUCAGGAUGAACGCUGGCGGCAGGCUUAAUACAUGCAAGUCGAACGGUAACGACCGGUAGCAAUACUGGGGCGACGAGUGGCGCACGGGUGCGUAACGCGUAUGCAACCUACCCUCAACCGGGGCAUAACGCCGAGAAAUUGGCGCUAAUAUCCCAUGUGUAUGGGAAGUGGCAUCACUUUCUAUAUAAAGAUCCGUUGGUUAAGGAUGGGCAUGCGUAACAUUAGCUAGUUGGCGGGGUAACGGCCCACCAAGGCGACGAUGUUUAGGGGUUCUGAGAGGAUUCACCCCCACACUGGAACUGAGAUACGGUCCAGACUCCUACGGGAGGCAGCAGUAGGGAAUAUUGGGCAAUGGAGGCAACUCUGACCCAGCCAUGCCGCCGUGAAGGAAGACGGCCCUAUGGGUUGUAAACUUCUUUUGCCGCAGAGUAACCGCGGGGACGCGUCCCCGCCUGAGAGUAUGCGGCGAAUAAGUAUCGGCUAACUCCGUGCCAGCAGCGGC